CUUCGGCAGGUGAAACCCCGUGCCGGUGUCGCCCCUGCACCCACCGCCACCUCCGCGCCGGUGUUCUCCACCUGACAGUGAAGAGCACCUCAAUCACAUCUAAGGAAGACAUGGGCGAUGAGUCUGCGCGUGAGUACUAUGACAUCGUCAGCAAGACUUUUGCUAGUGAGGAUGAUGCCUUUGAGUUCUAUAACAACUAUGCUCUUGAGAAAGGUUUUAGUGUGCGGAAAAGCUAUGUUGAGUGGGAUGAAGCCAACCAGGAGAUAAUUCUGAGGAAACUUGUCUGUAGUCGUCAAGGUUCGCGAGAAGAGAAGCACAUGAAGAGAGAAGAUAGGAAGAGGAGGCCACGGCAUCUCACUCGUGUUGGGUGUCGAGCCAAAUUGGUCAUUGCAAAACUCAAGGAAACAGGUCGGUGGUUUGUGAAGGAUUUCAUCGAUGAACACACCCAUCCUCUGGCCCCACCGGAUCUUGCUUGUCUGCUGCAUUAUCAUGCUACUGUGUUGUUUGCCUGUGCGAAAUCAUCAGUUAUCUAAACUUCUAUCUGUGGAAGGGCAAGAUGCAAAAGUUUGAUUCAGUACCCUGAACUGUGACAAUCCCUUUAUUUGUUCUUUUCCACAAAAUUGCCUUAUAUUGCUGUGACAACAUCUCCGAUCAGAGGUUAUUAGCUAAGUCACACAUGUUUGUAUUCAGACUGGAUGUCCAAACACAGUAUCCCCUCAGGCCAAAAGAGUCUGUCCACUUCAACCAAGAAAACACCAUCUCCAACAUUCCAACACCAGAGACCAAAGUAGCAUUACAUACAGUAAAUGAGCUAUUACUGUAAUUUCAUCAAAAGUACAAAGUGAUUUUAUGUUCAUAGUACAAGGAAUCAAGGGAAGUCUGAAUUUUUAACUUUUGGUAGACAA